rnacentral:piRNA from 1 species
UGACAUGACAGAUAGAUGCUCCCCAUUGA